rnacentral:lncRNA from 1 species
CAUAUUUCUAUGCACUUAAAAAGAAAAGAAGAAACCCCACUUUAAUUUGGGCUCUCUCCCAUUCAUCUCCUCAGGAGACCAUCCGAAGACCUUUGGGUUGAAUUGCCUUGCAACUUUUUUCAGGUGACCACCUGCCUCUGCUACUCUUUUUCAUUCACUUAACCUUUGCUGCAUUUUUAAAGAUUCAAAUCAAUGGUAGAAUUAGUGAAAAGAUUAAUUUCAUUGACAUCCUCUGAAGUUUUGGUAGAUACAUGUAGCCAUAUUUGAAAUGAGUCUUCUUUCUUCGUCUUAAAAUUAAAUUUUGUUUUUUAAUUUAAAAAAAAAAACAAAUUUAGAAUACUUUGGAAGAAUAUCUUUUGAGUUAUUUUAAGGUGUUUUUCUGAUGUCACCAAGUCUCUCUCAAGCAGGGGGAGACGAGACAUCGAUCAAUGGAAGAAAAGCCUUCUAGACGUAAGUUAUCAAUACCUAAAAUAAAUAUAGCUGAGAUCAAGAAGCAGUCACCUUCCCCACUGUCACCAACUGCCCAAAGUUGCACUGCAAAGCCAUCUAGUGCCAGGGCCAAUUGCCUUUGCUCGCCCACAACCCAUGUCGGAUCUUUCAGGUGUCGCCACCACAGGAGCCGUAGCCAUAGCCGCAGUGACUCCAGCUCUAGCCUCUCCAGCCUCUCUGAACUGGGCAGUAAACCAGACACCAUCACCGACACCAUUGAAGCUCAGUAGCUCCAACUUUUUGCAACAUAUGGUUUGAAUAAACAUUUAUGGCUUAUGGUUUGGUCUUAUGUCUAUAGUUGUUCCUAAUAUUCGAAGUGUGUGAAAGAUUCUUCUCACCCCUGAAAAACCAAUAUGUUCAUUUCAGGGGCCUUUAAGUUUCGUAUGGAACUUAUUUUGUUGUGCAAGAAUUUGUAUGCAAGUAUUUGAUUGAUUAUUUUUUUAAAUUUAUCAAGUGUUUGGUUGCUAACGGAUUGAAUAUUAUUGGAUUAUUAGGG